GUCCUACGGGGGGCUGCAGUGGGGAAUCUUAGACAAUGGGCGCAAGCCUGAUCUAGCCAUGCCGCGUGAGCGAUGAAGGCCUUAGGGUUGUAAAGCUCUUUCGUGGGGGAAGAUAAUGACUGUACCCCAAGAAGAAGCCCCGGCUAACUCCGUGCCAGCAGCCGCGGUAAUACGGAGGGGGCUAGCGUUGUUCGGAAUUACUGGGCGUAAAGCGCACGUAGGCGGAACAGAAAGUCAGAGGUGAAAUCCCAGGGCGCAACCUUGGAACUGCCUUUGAAACUCCUGUUCUUGAGGUCGAGAGAGGUGAGUGGAAUUCCGAGUGUAGAGGUGAAAUUCGUAGAUAUUCGGAGGAACACCAGUGGCGAAGGCGGCUCACUGGCUCGAUACUGACGCUGAGGUGCGAAAGCGUGGGGAGCAAACAGGAUUAGAUACCCGGGUAGUCC
rnacentral:rRNA from 1 species